UACAGAGACCUCAAGCGUUAUCCGGAAUCAUUGGGCGUAAAGCGUUCCGAUAGGUGGUUUAGAAAGUUUUGGGUAAAAGCCAGAAGCUCAACUUCUGAGUUUGCUCAAAAUACUUCUCAACUAGAGGGGCAAAUAGGUAGCUGGAACGAACGGUGUAGUAGUGAAAUGCGUUGAUAUCGUUCGGAACACCGAAGCGAAGGCA
rnacentral:rRNA from 1 species